GAUCAUGGCUCAGGAUGAACGCUAGCUACAGGCUUAACACAUGCAAGGUCGAGGGGCAGCAUGAACUUAGCUUGCUAAGUUUGAUGGCGACCGGCGCACGGGUGAGUAACACGUAUCCAACCUUCCGUUUACUCAGGGAUAGCCUUUCGAAAGAAAGAUUAAUACCUGAUAGUAUGGUGAGAUUGCAUGAUAGCACCAUUAAAGAUUUAUUGGUAAACGAUGGGGAUGCGUU
rnacentral:rRNA from 1 species